CAGCCGCCACGGUAAUACGAAGGGUGCAAGCGUUACUCGGAAUUACUGGGCGUAAAGCGUGCGUAGGUGGUGGUUUAAGUCCGUUGUGAAAGCCCUGGGCUCAACCUGGGAAUUGCAGUGGAUACUGGGUCACUAGAGUGUGGUAGAGGAUAGUGGAAUUUCCGGUGUAGCAGUGAAAUGCGUAGAGAUCGGAAGGAACAUCUGUGGCGAAGGCGACUAUCUGGGCCAACACUGACACUGAGGCACGAAAGCGUGGGGAGCAAACAGGAUUAGAUACCCCUGUAGUCCGUGUCUCUUAUAC
rnacentral:rRNA from 1 species